rnacentral:rRNA from 1 species
UUGGGCGUAAAGAGUCCGUAGGUGGCACUUCAAGUCUGCUUUCAAAGACCGAAGCUCAACUUCGGAAAGGGAGUGGAAACUGAAGAGCUAGAGUAUAGUAGGGGUAGAGGGAAUUCCUAGUGUAGCGGUGAAAUGCGUAGAGAUUAGGAAGAACACCAGUGGCGAAGGCGCUCUACUGGGCAUAU